rnacentral:lncRNA from 1 species
UGGCGCCGUUCGGGGUGUGCUACGACACGAAGACGCUGGGCAACAACCUCGGCGGGUACGCGGUGCCCAACGUCCAGCUGGGGCUCGAUGGCGGCAGUGACUGGACGAUGACCGGGAAGAACUCGAUGGUGGACGUCAAGCAAGGGACGGCGUGCGUUGCGUUCGUGGAGAUGAAGGGAGUGGCGGCCGGCGACGGCAGGGCGCCGGCGGUGAUCCUCGGAGGGGCCCAGAUGGAGGACUUCGUGCUCGACUUCGACAUGGAGAAGAAGCGGCUCGGGUUUAGCAGGCUGCCGCACUUUACGGGUUGCGGCGGCCUGUAAUAAUAAAUCUGUUUAACGACAGGUGGAUUCGUCCACUACUGCGUGUAAUAAAUAAGGGAAGAAACACUUUCCAUCAGUGGUUUCAUAAGAAGCGGCCAUCAGACCCAUCGUCGUCCGUUGAUUCUGGUUAAAUCUCACGGUCAAGAUACCUCUUAUCCCGUCGCCCUUAAAAAAAAUCAUUCGCCUUCAUAACCCCCUCCAAAAUCUCCCGCACGAAUAUCCCUCCGAGGCUCCGACCCUCCCCCUUCAUAUCCAAAAAUGCUACACUUACGGGUGGCAUUGCACGGUUAUGGUUAUUCGCCGCAUAACCACAAACAUUUGAUCCAAAAAUGCUACACUUACGGGUGGUAUAUGUUGUGGAUCGAGCCAAUCUUUGGCAUGCACCACCACCCUCUCCGCCACUACCACUCAAACGACGUCCUCGGGAAAGAAAUCAACCUCGACAUCCUCUCGACCACCAUCACCACCAUCACCACCCCCUCGGCCACCAUCACCACCACCCCCUCGGCCACCAUCACCACCACCCCCUCGGUCGCCAGCAACAUUCUGAAGAGAGGCCAAGAUUUCUCUGAAGAGAGGACAAGAUUUCUUCACGAGUGAGCCCGUUUGCCUCCGGUAGGUGCGGUGGGAGGGCGGCGUGCCGUUGCCGGAGACACGGUGGCCACCCCGGACACAAUUGGCGCAGUUGGAGGCGGAGCUUGGACCCAGUGGUUCUUUGUCAUCCCCAAGCUUUUUGCCGCCGCAGGAUGGAGUAUAUUUAGGGAAAUCNNNNNNNNNNNNNNNNNNNNNNNNNNNNNNNNNNNNNNNNNNNNNNNNNNNNNNNNNNNNNNNNNNNNNNNNNNNNNNNNNNNNNNNNNNNNNNNNNNNNNNNNNNNNNNNNNNNNNNNNNNNNNNNNNNNNNNNNNNNNNNNNNNNNNNNNNNNNNNNNNNNNNNNNNNNNNNNNNNNNNNNNNNNNNNNNNNNNNNNNNNNNNNNNNNNNNNNNNNNNNNNNNNNNNNNNNNNNNNNNNNNNNNNNNNNNNNNNNNNNNNNNNNNNNNNNNNNNNNNNNNNNNNNNNNNNNNNNNNNNNNNNNNNNNNNNNNNNNNNNNNNNNNNNNNNNNNNNNNNNNNNNNNNNNNNNNNNNNNNNNNNNNNNNNNNNNNNNNNNNNNNNNNNNNNNNNNNNNNNNNUUAUACUCCGUUAGCGUUUUUAGGGGAUCGGCUAGGUCCGCUGUAAAGGAGUAAACCAAAAAACUUACUCCCUUAUGGCCGUUUUGGGGAUCGGUUAUAAAUGCCCUUAGGAGGAGCGAUCCUCUCAUCUACUCCAUGCUUGGUGCUUCGGCAGGUUGCUCAAACGCCUGUUAGGUUGCAACCGUCGGCCAGAGAACCAGCAGCGGCCUCCGGUAUUUCCCCUCUCUUCGAAUCUUCAGGUUAUUUCCAAUCUGACGAUUUGUUAUGUCCCCCCAUCAUCUAUGCUUGCUUCAGUUUAUUUCCAAUCUGACGAUUUGUAAUUUCAACAUUGCAAUAACGUUUCUAAACAUUGUGUGCCGACUACUCAUUGUGUGCCUAUAUGUUGAUCUUCUCAUGUAUUAGGCCAUUUGAUCAUCUAAUAAUUUCCUUGUUAGUCUAGAAUUCUUUUAUUGUUGUGGUAUUUAGAUCAUCAGAGCUUGCGUACGUGUGUUGGCAGCAAUCAUACUAAUUACCUAGUUUCAAAAUUCAAUGGUUCCAAUGAAGAUGAGAAUUGGUGAGAUAUUAACCUUUAUAUGCUUCCUAUAUAUGAAGCUACAAAUAUUUCUGAAGUGUAGAUAGUUUUUGCUACCAAUGCAUCUUGCGUCUUAUUUUACAAUUUAGUUAUUGUUUUCGUUAUCACCAUUGGACACAUGGCAUGCUCCCAUAUGAUUAUGCAUAUGUUUCUUCGUUUUAGGUAGUUUGAUUCCGUAGUUCUAGCCUUCUAGGUUCCAAAUUUUGGUCUUAAUUUGUAUGCACGGUUCUAUUGUAUUGUUUGCAUUCUAUUUAUCAGUACUGCAGCAUACACAUAGUGCCAUUGUUGUUUCCUACCUUCGAUACUUAUGCAUUAUGCCUACAUGCAUGUGGGCAAUACUUGGCGGCCUCCGCGUAUAGGGCGCAGUUCCUAGGGACGGUCCUUCCUCCCAUGGACAAAAUGGUUUGGAAGGUUUGGGCACCCCCAAAGUCAAAAUUUUUGCUUGGUUGGCCCUUCAAGACAGAGUUUGGACGGCGGAUAGAUUGGCAAAGCGUGGGUGGCCAAAUUGCGAUCUCUGCCCUCUUUGCAGCAUGGUGCAAGAGUGUGGAGCUCACCUCUUCUACAAGUGCAACUACACCCGACGUCUUUGGUCUUUGGUCAUUGAGAAAUUCCUCAUGCACGGGCUUGACACUUCCGCUGGGCCCCUGUUCGACUCGGUGGACGAGUGGUGAGCUAGCACCUGCGCCGAUGGUACGCUGAACCACCAAGCCAAGGCCUCCCUCACUAUGCUCGUCUCAUGGACAAUUUGGAACGAGUGUAACGCAAGAGUGUUUAAGCAUAAGAGUGCUCCACCGCCAAUCUUGCUCUCCUCCAUCUCUACGGAGGCCAACCUUUGGGUCAUUGCCGGCGCAAAGAAGGUAGGGUCUUUUAUUUCACGCGAGUAAUCCGCAUGCCAUGCUUGUUGGGUGUCUUGUUACAAACUAUUUUCUAUCUUAAUUAAUGGAUGAGGCAAAGCUUUUGCCUCCGUUUCAAAAAAAAUGCUUCAAGCAGCCUUCUUAUGGCUUCGGGGCCUAUCUAUGCCGACGAGACAUGUAUAUAUGGAGGAAACUAGUGCAUGCACCAAGAAACAAGGCAACACCUGGAUCUACCUCGCAAUGAAGACGACCGCUCGCUAGAUAAAGGGAAGCGAGUCCAGAAUCUUGAGGGAGUAUACAAUAUUAACUUAGGAAGCACUGGACUAUUUGUGACUUGAAAAGGCAAAUUUGUUGUAUGAACCUGAAAGUACUAUUAGGGAACAUAAAUAUAUUUAUUUUAGGAAGCACUGUACAAUGGAUAAGAAACAUGUUAUAUGAACGGACGAAGCAUGGAGAAAUCUUAUGCUUCGUUGGAAGCAAAUUAUUUUUGCGGUGGAAACACUUUUCUUGUGCAUGGAAGCAAACAUUUCUUGUGUUGGAAACAUAAGAAAAACUGCAUGUGUUGUGAUACUGAUCCCAAAUUUUUGCAUCUACAUCUACAUCUUUGAUCAAGGAUGCUAAUGUGAUACUGACCCUUCACAGUUCACAAAUCACAUGUGUUGUGAUUUCAAGUGUUUUUUGGGUACAGAGAUUUGAUGCUUCAUAUAUAUCCAAUACGUGCUUCAUCACCAGGGAGCAGGAGGAUCACCAGGGAGAAGCAUUUAAAAAAAAAAAUUGCAUGAAGUGACUUCCACCAACGUGAAGUGUUUCAUUGACACUGAAAAAUGUUUCCAUUACAGAACAUAAAAUAGGUGUCCAUUGGUUGAAACAAUGUUUGCAUAGACGACAACCGAUGCUUGUGUGGCAUGUGGUCGACAUAGAUUGUUUUCCUCUCAUGAGAAAAGGCAUCCCAAUUGUCCACUAGAAUUUAGGGAUCUAUUUCCUAAACGAAAGGAUGUGUUUGGUUCUCACAAAUAAUGCUUCCAUCACAUGGGUGCCUGAAUCAGGUAAUCGAACGUGGUUUAAGGAAGCAUGCAACUAGCCUAGGAAGCAACGUUCAGGGAGGCAUGCAUCACAUGGAUGGCCUGCUACUAGGAAGCAACGUUCAGGGAGGAAGUAUCGGAUGGAGAGAAAGUAACCCGAGCGCGGUAGAGCACAUGGGUUGCGGAAGCAGUUAAGAAGCACUCAAUUAGCGGCUAUCGCUAAUCUCAUGCAGGACUAAACUAGUACUAAAUCGGACGACUUCCUGCUUCUGAUCCGACGGCCUACGACUAGUUGACUAGUGAGAUAGAAUGUGAACUACCAGUAGUUUGAUGCCCCCAAUAAAUAAGUUCUUUUAGACAUUGCCGAAAAAGGUUUUCCCCGAUUUGUAUUCCAAGCACCAACACCGAUUACAUAGCAUACGCUGGGGCGAGCAGCACAACAAGCCAAAGAAAAAGAAGAAGAAACAAUGCCAACAUCGGCAGCUCGACAAAGCGCGGAUGACCCACUACUGUUGUGCCCUUCGAAAUCUACCCACCACAAUCCCAGGCUCCGAUCCUCCGCGUACCAAGCAGCACCUCCAGGAAGGAAUGCGACGCUGAUGACACUGCUGCCCGGACGUGUCCUAGGGUUUCCCCCGGCACGCGGAGGGUAGAGGGGAAUGAAGACCACCGACACCCUCCAGGGAGGAAUGGUGGCACCCGUAGGCGUCACCGUAUCGUAACCGGAAGACCCGGCAAGGAUUUCUCCCAAUUCCACACCCCACUGCCCAAUCGGAUCGGAGCUAACCAGCCAGCUCGCCGCCCACCAACAUGCGCCACCGCGGUCGCAACACCACCCACGCCGCCUCACUGCGAUCACUACCACGAGGCCAAAAGAACGAGGAGAGGAGGCGUUGGUUGACGGGAGCAGCAGCACCAUAGCCGCGCGGGAGGGAACCACCUCCUCCGCCGUCAUGCAGGAGGCUCGUGCCUCCGGCACCGUCGUGGACGCCGUCUGGACGUAGCAGCAGGGCAUACCAGGCCACCCCUGGCCCGGCCAUGCCCGAAUCGGGCCCGCUAAGCCCCGUCGGCCACGCUGCAGCAGGGCGGCACCAGCACCGCCAGCCCCCAACGCCCAUCGCCGCUCCCCUGCCUCCUGGAAACCACUCCGCCAACCCGCCCCGCCGUCGGCCCGCCCAGACCCAGAUGGGGCACGAAGGGCCUAGAUCUGGGCCGAGCGGGCGCCGCCAGGCCACGCUGCCGCGCCUCCCCGCCGCCAACGGCGACGCCGCAGUCCAGCGGAUCUCCCGCGCCGUGCCAGGGAGCCCUGCCGCCACGCCGGACCGCCGCCGCCUAGGGAGCACCCCCCGGCGCCCUCCGCCCGAGAGUAACCGAGAGGGGAAUGGCCGAGAGCCGCCGCCACCAGCGUCGCUCGGGCCAGGCCUGGCGGCGAACGCCGGCGACGGCGGCAGGGAGGGGGGAGUGAGGGAGAGCUGGCGGAGGAGGAACUGGGGCGCGGCUGGUCGCCCGCGGGGGUGACGCGGUCGCGUAAUGGGUAUUCUUUACGAACCUCUUUUAGACAUUCAAUAAAAUGCAAAAUUCAUUUGGACAUUGAAGACCAUACUUCAUAUGUUGACCUUUGUUUUUUUUGUUCACUUAAAAUACACCAUUAAAUGAUCCAUGUCAGCAUUUGGCAUUUUUAGAUCUGUUCGCUACAUUUAAGUCAUGAUUUUAAAUUGUACUAAAUGCAUGAAAAAAUAGAAAACAAUUGAGUUAAAAAUUCAUAUCUGUGUUCUCAUGUCCAUAUUUAGUCCUUAUCAAAGAAUGAAAAUGAAUUCCAAACAUGAGGGUGCCCGGAGACGACCCCGGACAUUAAGUUUUUUUUUAGUUAUGAAAAAUGCAAACGAAGUCAGAAAAGAAUGAAACUUUCAUGAUGCCAAUGUAUCACACCUAGAGGCUAAGGUAAAUGUUUGAGAAAGUUCUCAAAAGUUGUGUCACACAUUACUUACAAAGCAGACAAUCUUCAAGGAAAGAUCAUGGUUUUGAGAUGGAACAUGUCAUCUUUGAAGGCAGAGCGGCUGCUGCUUUAUCCGCUGGCCUUGAAUUUUCUGCAUGGCAGUGCACGGCUUAGCUCUCGGUGUAUGUAUCAAUUCUUGAGUUCGUUGUUGACACGUUUUGUACCUCUACGUGCCGGUUGCAUCAUUUCACUUUCGGGAGCGUUCCCUCUAUGUAGAGAGGAGAUAUAGAGGAGAGACGAAUACACACACAUGUGAAGUUCAUUUGUACUGAGCUGUUUCUCCGGCGACCCCAUCUCAAUGACUGCGUGCAAAACCGUCCGAGAGUGCAUGUCGUGCUCCUUGAGAGCCUGAUUUUGCCCGUGUUUGUGUGAGUCAAACUGUUGAAAAAAUAGGGUAGAACCCGUGGUCUAACAAGAGUUGCCUUUCCGUACUGUUGUCGUGAAGAGAAGUUUGACAGGAGAAAGAAAUUCAAAAACCGGCGAAGUUCAUUUGUACUGAGUUGUUUCUCCAGCGACCCCAUCGAGUGAAUUGCAGAAAACCACCACAUUGACGCAUAGGUUUGCAGAAAGCACUCUUUUACGAAUUUAGGCCAGAAACCACUAAUUUUUUGUCUAAUCUUUUGCAAAAAACAUUGAUUGGACUAUUUGGACAUUUUAACCGCAAUUAUGACAUGUGGGGCCCGCAUUUGAUGAUGUGGCAAACUGGGCUUUUUCUAAAGAACCCUUCCUAAAAAAAAAGGAUAUCUCCCUUCCCUUCCCGAUCCAAUCGGGAUUCAGGCCCCCGCCGUUGUUCCCACAAGCCACCGCCGCCGGGGCCUAGGCCAAGAUGCUCGCCGCCUCCUUCCUACGAUGUGGCGGCUCUAUCCUCGCGCCUGCCAUGGCCACAACCUAGUCCAGGUCGACCCCGCAAAAAAAACCUACUCCAGGUCGAGGCCGGCGGCCACGGCCGAGCCGCACGGGUCGGCCGGCGCCCUGCUCCUGGAAGCAUGGGUGGGGGCUAGCGGCGGCUUUGGCCUCGGAAUCACCACUCAGAAUGCUCGUGGCCUCCUCCUUCAGGCAUGGCGGCAGUGUAACAGCUAGUGCACGGAUCGGCUGCGACCUCCCUGCAGCGACGGCGGCAUCGGAGCAAGCAAUAGCGGCGAGGAGCAGCACAAGCGCAAGUAGCGGCGCGGCCGCACGCAACACGAGCACGAGCAGCGGCGGCGGCGGGCAGCACCGGAGCCAAGAAGAGCAAGCAGCGGCACACAUCACCGAAGCAAGCAACGACACGCCGGCGAGCCGAACGGGCGCAAGCAGCAGCAACAGCGCACAACACGGGCACAGCCAGGCAGUAACCCUCGUCAUUGAGCUAUGCCGCCACCGGGCACCGGCGUGGGCGACAGCGCACGAGCGCGAGAUGGCCGGCGGCAGAGUUCGGCUGAGCUGGUGUGGCAAGGGCCCAAUUGCAUUUUUCUGUUCAAAUUGAAGGGUGCCUUUGUAAAAAUACUAGGGACCCCACAUGUCAUAAUCGCGGUUAAAAUGUCUAAAUAGACCGAUCAGCGUUUUUUUUCAAAAGAUUAGACAGAAAAUCAGUGUUUUCUGACUCAAAUUCGUAAAAGAGUGUUUUCUGCAAACCGUCUGCAGAACCUGAUUUUUGCCUGUGUUUGCGUGAGUCUAACUGCUGGAAAAAAAAAGGGCACGACCCGUGGUCUAAUAAGAGUUGUCUUUCCGUACUGUUGUCCUGAAGAGAAGUUUGACAGCAGAAAGAAAAAAAAAGAAAGAAAAAACGACCAAAGUGGGAGUCGAACCCACGACCUUCUGAUCCGAAGUCAGACGCGCUAAUCCACUGCGCUAUGCGGUCACUGUGCUGCUAAAGCAUUAACACGGUACUGGACUUCUAUUCAGCGAGAUAGCUGGUUUAUCAUGUUCAGAAUAAGGACGUACACACAAAGAUGGUCGCGCAAGGCCGGAACCAAUGAUCUCCAGGAGCUAGUAAUAAUUGUAAACCGUGCAACAGAUAAAUGCAAUAAAAUAUUAACAGAUUUCAGGGGGCGCAGAACAAUACCAUUCUGGUUAGAACCAGAAACACAGACAAUCACCAUUCACUGUGGUAGAUGCAAUAGAAAACUGAAUUAUAAGAAUGCUUCAUUGACAAGUCUGGAACUACGAUGCAACAUGCAAGUAAUUAAAUUUGAAAAGUUGUACCCCAAGGUGUUCUACAAGGCAGCAAAGAGAAAAGUCAGCGUCUUCUCAUUGUCAGCUACAACAAAGGGGUGCAAACAGGAAACACACUAAAAGUUGACUAUUAAGAAGACCACUUAUCAAGCGGUCAAAUCAAUUCUCCAGUAAAGCAAGUGGUGAUAUGAGGCAUAAAGAUUGCUAAAUAUCAAGUACAGAGAAGACCAUAAGGCGGAUGGGCAAAUAUUUCAGGAGCAAAGUAAAACGACUUGGUAACUGUAGCAUCAACACAGCCAGUAGCCCCUUCAGCCUGAAAGGUUAUCGAAACAAGAAUCCCAUUGUUAGAUUGUGGAGCAAAAUGAAGCAUUCUCAGGACGUUUGCAUUCUGAGCCGUCGGAUUGGCCGUCCAAACAAAUCCUGGCCGUUGGAUUCUUGAUGGACCGAUCGUCGCUGUUGGCUCAAAACUGAUGUUACAACCAAUUAAUAGUGUUGCUUCUUUCUUACUUCUGGUUUAUUUUCUUAUCUCGCUGAUUGGUGUGCCGUGCCCUGGGUGGUCCACCACUGUCAGUGACUCUGGAGCCCUGUGCGACCGGUGUAGGUACGAAUGGGAGAGGGGUCAUGCCACCGCCUGUAAAAUUGGGUGGCCGCCAGGGGCAAUUUCGUCACUCCAUGUUAUUGCCCUCGCGUGGCGCUUCGUGUGUGGCUGGUCCAUGCGUAAAGGCGAUAGAGUGAUUGGAUCGAACGAACCCUAGCCGACAACAUCGUUCCUCUGCCUUCCCUCUCUCUGGGCCGAGCAACCACCUCUCUGCUCCUCCGCACGGGAUCCUACUACCGAUGCUCGAGUCUUGGCGAGCAGCCGACGACCGUGGAUAAGAAGAUCCAGCGUGAGCCGCUGCCGAUGCAUCUUCUCCUCCUCCAGCGCAUCAUCCCCCGAUUUCCCGUGCUUCGCCUCCGCCCCGCUCCCUUUCCUGGCGGCGCUCCCUACCGCCUCCGUCACGACGUCUUCUCCUCCCCAUCGUCAAUGGAAGGAGAAAGGAGAAAGUGAUGGAACAGGCCUGGGGCAGCAACCUCACGAAAUGAUAUCGGCAGCAAAAAUAAGAUCAGAGCGUCAAAUAUAGAAGACACGAAGGAGGAAGGCCGCGGCUGCUUGACAAGCGAGGACAAGUCAAUCUGAUCUUCAUGCUAUGUCUAUCUCCGUUUGCUUAGAUCAUAUCAAUCCGGUCUCCACACUAUGUCUACCUCCGGUAAUUUCUUUCAUCUUUAAUGUAAAUAGGUAGUGGUUGAGAUCCAACAGCUGCAGUUUUUUAAGAUAUUAAAUCAAGGGCCGGAUGUUUCUGAUUAACAUGAGAAUUUCUAGCUUAUUUCCCUAUUUUUGAACCGUAAUUUUCUUUUAGUAUAUAUUCCCUCUGUUCCUAAAUAGUUGUCUUUCUAGAGAUUUCAACAACUGACUACAUACGGAGCAAAAUGAGUGAAUAUACGCUCUAAAACAUGUCUAUAUACAUCCGUAUGUUAUAGUCCAUUUGAGAUGGCUAGAAAGACAAUUAUUUAGGAACGGAGGGAGUAAUAGAUAUACGCUCCAAACACUUGACUAUGUUUUAGUGGAGUAGACAUGCGGAACAACACAAAGAACACGUGGGAGCCAGCCACCAGGGAUGGAGCUGGCUCCUCUAACUUGCCUCUUGCUAAGUUAGAAGCCUAACAACGGGUCGCUUUCUUUCUUCCAGGAGAAGAAAGAAAUGCGAUCUCGCCUCCUGCCGCCAGGGCAUCUUCCUCCGUCGCCGUCCUCCGACGGCUUCCCUCCGCUGAUGACCUUGGUCAUCGGUGGUGAGGGGGAUCGCCGGAUCCACGCGUGUGGAUUGUUUUAGGCAUUAUUUUUUUAGAAUUUUGGGUUGUUCAUUGUCAUGACUUCGGCAGUGGCAAUGGCGGCGCGGACUAAUAAAUCUUUAGAUCCUUCCCCAACGAGGCGAUCCGCUUUUGGGGUGGAUUUGGAACCAGACUGUUCAAGCAAGGAUGGUGCUGCGGCGGGGGAUCCUCAUGGUGGACCUGUGUCCUCGGGCUUCGCCGUUGCGUCGGCGUUUACUCCAGUGCCGGCAUGGAGCUUGGGAGGUAGUCCAGGAGCGGAUGCAGAUUGUAGUCUGCAUCGACGGCGUCGGGAAGAUGGUGGAUAUGGGUUCGUGGUUCGUGGCAGGCAGGUAUGGUUUCCUCCUCCAACAUCUUAGUUGGGCGGGGGUGUCAGAUCUGGAGUUCGACGGCGUGUCCAGAGUGUUGCCCCGGUCUGAUUCGUUCAAUGACAAUUGACGAGGAUACAGACCUGUGGUAGGGUCAUAGGCCUGAUCUAUACGUCAUACCCAAGGUCACUACCCUGGAAGAUAAAAAUACCAAGAGACAACAGGAGAGCCCUGGUCGAAUGUGUCGAGUGCAAUCCACUCGACGACCACAUCACUCGACGGUCCUCCUCCCUACCGUCACUCGACCAUAUGAAGAGUCACUCGACCUAGCGAAAGACCGGGAGUCAGAAGAUCGCGCAACGGCCAGACAUGCACUCCUUAGCCUUUAUAAGCAUUAAGAUGUUUAAGGCUGGCGUUACCAGUAACGCCCCUUACUUUAUGUACAUUAAGCCCCUUGUAAUGGAGGCGGGCAAGGGUCCUGGCGCACUCUAUAUAAGCCACCCUCCUCCUCUUGCACAAGGGUUCGCACCCCCUAUAAUACAACACACAUAAUCCAAUCGACCGCCUUCGGGUACCGAUACGUAGGGCUAUUACUUCCUCCGAGAAGGGCCUGAACUCGUAAACCUCUUGUGUACAUCUUCGCCAUAGCUAAGAUCUUGCCUCUCCAUACCUACCCUCCUUUCUACUGUCAGCCUUAGGACCACGACAGUUGGCGCCCACCUUGGGGCAGGUGUCUUAGCGACUUGUUGGUGAAGUUGCAAGUUUUACCGAUCAUCAUCAUCAUGGUUUCCGGCGGCGGAUUGGCUGAGGGCCACAAGAUCCGUCUCGGCGCGCUCGUUUUCGUCGCCGAUGACUCCGCGUGGCUUCAAGAAGCUCCCCUGGACACUGAGGCGCUCCCUGUCCGAGGGGCCACGCACUUCCGUGCGUGCGUUCGCGGCGUCCUUCUCCGGCAGCCGUCGACUCAGUAUCAGUCGGCUUCGAUGGUGUUUUCCCUCUCUGCUAUUCGCCGCCGCAAGCGGUCUGGUCGAUCGCGGCUUCAGCGGUGGGUGAAACACGCGGUGGCUCGCCAUUCGACCACCCAUCAAGUCGCGACAAUCGAGCCCAACGAAACUCUCCACGGCCUGUUCGAUUUGUCGACUGGCUCCACGGAGACCGCAUCCGAAUGCGAUAGCAGCGAUCCUGCGGUCGAAGUCUUGAUGGUCGAUGGGCCUCACAGCCCGCCCAGUUUCCGCCACGAGGGCGGCGGGGACGGAGGCGGCGAUCCGUUGCGCGUCCAUGAGGAAUACCGACCCGAGCCCCUCUCUUCACAGCAGAGGGAAGAACUUCGUCACCGCAACAUGGAUGCACUCCACACGCCCAUUGUUGGAGAGACCCCCGAGGCUCGGGCCUUGGAGGAGGUACGCUUGGCUAAUUUGGCUGAGCGCACUCGACUGGAUAACCUCCAGCGGGCUCUCGACGAGCGCGCUUAGGAGAGGAUCCAUGAGUCCAGUCGACGACAGCUUUUUCCGCCUCCACCUAAGGUAUACCGCAGUCCGAUUCAGAAUCUCAAAGCCGCGGCCCGAACAGCAGAGUUGAUCCAACCUUCCCAGUCAGAAGCUGGCAGAGGGUUGAUGCAGAUCCGGGCCCUGCUCAGGGUAGCAGGAGAGCAGAAUACAUCAGUAUCUCAGUCGCGGGAUAGGAUUCACAGCAGAUCCGUUGCAGCGGACACGAUUCAGUCGUCUCACAGCCGAAGAUCGCCUCCACAGCAUGAAGGCCGUGGGCAGUACGAUCAUCCACUCGACCAUGACAAUCGUUGUCGAGGACCCACGCCUCCUCCGAGGAGUGCGUCGUAUGUGCCUCGGCGGAAGAACGACAUGCGCCGUCACAGUGGCGAGCGCAGAGCUUCAGUUGAUCCAAGAGAGCCGGGCUUCGACGUGAGGUCUAUCCUCGUUCAAGGCCUGGUCGACCAGAACAAAGCACACAGAGAAGACCCUGGCAGAGAUCGUCCAAGUGGCAGCAGAGUGCAUGUUUCCGGUCACGAGUGUUUUAGCAGAGCCAUCAGGGCAGCGGUGAUUCCUCCCAACUUCAGGUUGGCGUCCGGGGUUAGUAAGUUCACAGGCGAAUCCAAGCCUGAAACUUGGCUUCAAGAUUACCGAGUGGUUGUGCAGAUUGGAUGCGGUAACGAUGAGAUAGCGAUGAAGCAUCUCCCUGUUAUGUUGGAAGGGUCGGCCCGAGCAUGGUUGACCCAGUUGACUCCGGGCCGUAUUCACAGUUGGGAGGAGCUAUCUCGGGUGUUCGUAAGAACUUUUGAGGGCACAUGCAAGCGACCAGCAGGGUUGCCCGAGUUGCAGCAUUGUGUGCAGAAGCCGAAUGAGACUUUGAGGGAAUUCAUUCAGAGAUGGACUACUUUGCAUCACACCGUUGAAAAUGUUUCAGAGCAUCAGGCAGUGUGCGCUUUCAAGGAAGGCGUCAAAUACAGAGAGUUGGUCUUGAAAUUCGGUCGGACUGUGGAUAUGACUCUGACUCGGAUAAUGGAGAUAGCCACCCGGUACGCUAACGGAGAAGAGGAGGAUCGACUCUGUAGCGGGAAGAGCAAACCAGUCGGCCAAGAGGCCGGUGGGGGUAACUCCAGUCGGAAACAGAAGUGUAAGGCCGAACCAGCAGCACCCGGGGAGAUUGCGGCAGUGAGUCUAGGAAAGUUUAAGGGAAAACCUAAGGGCCCUGGCCCCCUAAAAAGGUCAAAGAUCAAGCAGGAAAUGAUGUGUUGGAUUUGCCAUGCCACAUCCACACGAAGAAGGAUGAAGAAGGUAAUCUGAUUUACCCGAAGCAUACCACUCGACAAUGUCAACUCCUAAUCCAGCAGUUUUGAGUUCAUAUUCACCCGACGGAUCCCAAUGCUGCACCGACUCAUAUAUCAACAACGCUCGACAGCAAAUAGGAAGAAGCACUCGUUCAGUUCCUCUGUGAGAACAGGGAUAUCUUUGCAUGUAAACCUUCUGACAUGCCAGGUGUGCCCAGGGGACUGGCCGAGCACCAUUUGCGUGUCGACCCCAAAGUAAAGCCCGUCAAAGAGCACCUUCGGCGGUCCGCCGUACAGAAGAGGAAAGCAAUUGGCGAAGAAGUGGCUCGACUGUUGGAAGUAGAGUUCAUCCUUGAAAUCUACCACUCCCAGUGGUUAGCCAAUGUAGUCAUGGUUCCUAAGAAGGAUGAUUCACUUCGUAUGUUUAUUUAUUUCAAGCAUAUCAAUUGGGCUUGCCCGAAAGAUCACUUCCCUCUCCCUCGCAUCGAUCAGAUUGUUGACUCGACUACGAGGUGCGAGCGCUUGUCUUUCUUGGAUGCAUAUUCCGGAUAUCAUCAGAUCCGAUUGUAUGGUGGCGAUGAAAUAAAAACAGCCUUCAUCACCACAUUCGGGUGCUUUUGCUAUGUCACCAUGCCUUUCGGUUUGAAAAAUGCCGGAGCCACAUUCAUGAGAAUGAUUCAGAAGUGCCUGCUCACUCAAAUCAGUCGGAAUGUGGAAGCAUACAUGGAUGACAUUGUGGUCAAGUCUCGCAAAGGUUCCGACCUAUUGACCGACCUUGCAGAAACCUUUGCCAACCUGAGGAGAUACGAUAUCAAGCUUAAUCCGUAAAAAUGCACAUUCGGAGUUCCAGGAGGAAAGUUACUCUGUUUUCUCGUUUCCGAACGAGGGAUCGAUGCUAAUCCAAAAAAAGUUGAUACCAUCAUCCGAAUGAAACGCCCCAUGCGAGUGCAUGAUGUUCAGAAGCUGACUGAUUGUUUGGCCACCCUGAGUCGAUUCAUUUAUCGUCUCGGUGAAAAGGCCUUGCCCCUUUACCGACUGAUGAAGAAAUCUGAUAAGUUCGAGUGGACUGAAGAAGCUGAUGCAGUGUUUACAGAGCUCAAAACCCUGCUUUCCACCCAGCCGGUGCUCGCUGCGCCAAUCAGCAAAGAGCCUUUACUGCUUUAUAUUACAACCACUGGACAAGGUGUCAGCACAGUACUCAAGGUCGAGCGAGAGGAAGAAGGAAAAGCUUACAAGGUUCAACGCCCAGUCUAUUAUCUCUCUGAAGUUUUGACUCCAUCCAAGCAACGAUACCCACAUUAUCAAAAGCUUGUCUAUGGAAUAUACAUGACCAUGAAGAAGGUUGCGCAUUAUUUCUCUAACCACUCCAUUACAGUCAUCAGCGACACGCCACUAUCUGAAAUUUUGAAUAACGGAGACGCAACCGGUCGAGUGGCAAAAUGGGCGAUUGAACUCCUUCCAUUAGAUAUCAAGUUUGAGGCAAAGAAGGCUUUCAAGUCCCAAGCAAUUGCAGAUUUCCUUGCCGAGUGGAUUGAGCAACAAUUGCCGACUCAAGUUCACUCGGAGCAUUGGAGUAUGUUCUUUGAUGGCUCCAAGAUGCUGAAUGGUUCAGGCGCUGGAGUAGUAUUGGUAUCCCCCCGCGGAGACAAGCUUAGUUAUGUUCUCCAGAUUCAUUUUGAUUCCUCCAAUAAAGAAGCCAAAUAUGAAGCACUUUUAUACGGGUUGCGUAUGGCAAUUUCACUCGGCGUCGGUCGCCUUAUGGUCUACGACGACUCAGAUUUGGUGGUUAAUCAGGUGAUGAAGAAAUGGGAUGUUAGGAGCCCAGCCAUGACUGGUUACUGCAAUGCAGUGAGAAAGCUGGAAAAGAAGUUUGAAGGUUUGGAGCUUCACCACAUACCCUAACUGAAAAAUCAAGCCGCAGAUGAGUUGGCAAAGAUAGGAUCGAAGAGAGAGGCCAUUCCCCGAAAUGUGUUUUUGGAACAUAUUCAUUCACCUUCAGUUCAGGAAGAUCCUUUCACCGAAGAAUCACCACAACCCAAGAGUGCCACGGAUCCGACUGAAGUCGAAAUCCCAGUCGUGGUCGACUUAGUCAUGGAGGUUUUGGUCAUCACUCCCAACUGGACAGUACCAUAUGUUGCAUGCAUUCUUAGGAAGGAACUCCCAGAGGAUGAAGAAGAGGCUCGAUAGAUCGUUCGACGGUCUAAAGCCUUCACUGUGAUAAAAUGACAGUUGUUCAGAGAGAGUGUAACUGGGGUCUGCCAGAAGUGCAUCAUGCCAGAAGAAGGCCGAAUGAUCCUCAAUGAUAUUCACUCGGGGACCUGUGGUCACCAUGCGUCCUCUCGGACCAUCGUGGCCAAAGCAUACCGAGCCGGGUUUUACUAGCCGCGCGCCAAUGAGAUGGCAAAGGAAAUAGUGGACAAGUGUGAAGGUUGUCAGUUUUAUUCCAACAUGUCCCACAAACCUGCAUCAGCUCUGAAGACUAUUCCACUCGUCUAGCAUUUUGCUGUUUGGGGAUUGGACAUGGUUGGACCUCUGAGGACCGGCAGGAGCGGAUUUACCCACGUGCUGGUAGCAGUCGACAAGUUUACCAAGUGAAUCGAAGCCAAGCCCAUUAAAAACCUUGAAGCAAGUACUGCUGUGAGCUUCAUCAGAGAGUUGAUAUUCAGAUAUGGCGUACCGCACAACAUCAUCACUGAUAACAGAUCAAACUUCAACUCUGAUGAGUUCAAAGCUUUUUGUGCUUCCCAAGGCACGAGGGUCGAUUACGCUUCGGUCGCCCAUCCCCAGUUGAAUGGGCAGGCUGAGCGAGCGAAUGGAUUGAUUCUCAAAGGACUGAAGCCCCGGUUAAUGCGUGACCUCAAGCACGCGGCAGGAGCUUGGGUCGACAAGCUCCCAUCAGUGCUUUGGAGGCUGAGGACCACCCCCAAUCGGUCGACUGGACGGACUCCAUUCUUUUUAGUCUACGGAGCCGAAGCCGUUUUGCCGAGUGAUUUGCUCCACAACGCUCCCCGAGUCAAACUCUUCUCAGAAGAAGAAGCAAAGCAAGCUCGACAAGAUGCAGUCGACCUCCUGGAGGAAGAUAGAGAGAUGGCCUUGAUCCGAUCGACCAUUUAUUAGCAAGACUUGCGUCGAUUCCAUGCCAUGAACGUAAGGGGUCGUGAAUUCCAGGAAGGGGACUUGGUCCUCCGAGUGGAUCAGCAGAAGCCACACAAGCUCGCCCCGCUUGGGAAGGCCCUUUCGUGUUUACCAAGGUGCUCCACAACGGGGCAUACCGUCUCUUCAACGUCGAGCACAACAAAGAUGAACCACGCGUCUGGAAUGCGGAACUGCUCCGCCCUUUUUACUCUUAAGUAUUUAGACUGAUGUAAUAAGACGUACCUCUUAGUUUGAUUAUCAAAAGACAUAAUUUUACAGUCUUCCGAAUGAUUGUUGUUUAUUUCUUUUGUAUGUGUUGCCUUAGCUGCGAAUCUGUUUCUCCUAAGAUGAAGUUAUAAAAAUCCUACCGAGUGGUGAGUCUGCCUCCCACUCGGGGACUUAGCUGCAGCCCAGUGCUCGCCUAAAUUUGAAAAAUCCUACCGAGUGGGAGAGUGGUGAGUCUGCCUCCCACUCGGGGGCUUAGCUGUGGCCCAGUGCUAGUCUAAGUUUGAAAAAUCCUACCGAGUGGUGAGUCUGCCUCCCACUCGGGGGCUUAGCUGCAGCCCAGUGCUCGCCUAAGUUAGAAAAAAUCCUACCGAGUGCUGAGUCUGUCUCUCACUCGGAGGAUUAGCUGCAGUCCAGUACUCGCCUAAGUAAUAAAAAUUCCUCCCAAACGGCAACCCCCCGGGGGUUGCACCGUCAAGAAGAAGGAUGAGAUUGUGGUGAGCAGCACUCACCUAAGUUUGAAAAAUCCUACCGAGCGAUGAGCGACCCUCCCACUCGGGGGCUUAGCUGCAGCCCAGCGCUGGCCUAAGUUCGAAAAAUCCUACCGAGUGGUGAGCGACCCUCCCACUCGGGGGCUUAGCUGCAGGCCAGUGCUCGCCUAAGUUUGAAAAAUCCUACCGAGUGGUGAGCGACCCUCCCACUCGGAGGCUUAGCUGCAGCCCAGUGCUCGCCUAAGUUUGAAAAAUCCUACCGAGUGGUGAGCGACCCUCCCACUCGGGGGCUUAGCUGCAGCCCAGCGCUCGCCUAAGUUUGUAAAAUCCUACCGAGUGGCGAGCAACCCUCCCGCUCGGAGGCUUAGCUGCAGCCGAGUGCUCGCCUAAGUUUGAAAAAUCCUACCGAGUGGUGAGCGACCCUCCCACUCGGGGGCUUAGCUGCAGCCCAACGCUCGCCUAAGUUUGUAAAAUCAUAUCGAGUGGCGAGCGACCCUCCCGCUCGGAGGCUUAGCUGCAGUCGAGUGCUUGCCUAAGUUUGAAAAAUCCUAUCGAGUGGUGAGCGACCCUCCCACUCGGGGGCUUAGCUGCAGCCCAGCGCUCGCCUAAGUUUGUAAAAUCCUACCGAGUGGCGAGCGACCCUCCCGCUCAGAGGCUUAGCUGCAGCCCAGUGCUCACCUAAGUUUGAAAAAUCAUAUCGAGUAGUGAGUGAGGCCGCUGGUUGCCCACACCCCCCCACCCGGGGGCUGCACCGUCAAGAAGAAGGACGAGAUUGUGUGCACCCAACGAUUGGCCCCUUGCUGAUGACAGGAACGUCAAGACCAUUGCUGAGUACCUCGCUGAUGAGCUGAUCAGUGCUACCAAGGGAUCGUCAACAGGUCGACUGCUGACCCAUCUUCAACACCUGCAUCAAGUGAUGACAAAACCGAUCCAAGUGAAGAGCAGACUUCACUGGAAGAUAAACCCAACAUAUUCAAAGAUAAAUCCAGAGUUCCCUAACCGCAGAUUAAAAGUACUCGGGCACCAGACCUGGAGGAGUUUAAUGGUUACAAAAGCACUCGGCAUCCCGAGGCAAAUAAAGGUGAGGCAUAAUGUUUUUUCAAUCACUCGGCGGGAGAAGGACUGGCCGGAUCACAGAAGCUGUCAAGAUCGAUGCUGUCGGCAAUGCGAGUGGCUGCCUCGAGGAAGGUGUCCAUGAAGACUUGGAAAGAGUGCUUCUUAGUAUUCGCAACCUUGAGGGCCGCCAGCUUCUCUUCUUUAGCCUCCUUGCAGUGCACGCGAACCAAGGACAAGGUGACGUCAGCGCCACACCGGGUAGAAGACUUCUUCCACUCUUGCACUCGGUCAGGGAUUUGGUUGAGUCGAGUCAUCAGCGACUCGAGACUUUGAGGAAGUUCUGCCUGAGGCCAGAGUUCGGCGUCCACUCGGGCCAUCGCGGCCUUCAGCCGAGCCAGAUAGUCGACAACACCGUCCAAGCGUGAUUCCAGUCGAAGCAAGUUCAUCGCAACUUCAUCUUUCAUGGGACAGUUGAUAGGGUCGAGACCUGACAGAGUUCUGUUCCAUCACAACAAACAAUGAGUCGACAGUAUUGCAAAUCUCAGUCGACGAUAGCUAUCUAACUGAACAGUCAUACCUUCAAGCUUCAAGACAAGCUUCGCCGCAAGUUGUUCCAAAUGAGACUCUAGCUUGCCCGUCUUGGUCCUGAGACCAUCAACUUUAGCGGUCAAGUUCUCCUUGUCCUUCCUCAGUUUCUCGACUUCACGAUUGGCGUCCGAGACGGCCGUCUUUAAUUUCGCAUUCUCAUCCUCCAACUUGCCGAUUGAAGCUAGCUUCUGGUCCGCAAGUGUCGUCUUCUGGUCUGCAAGUGUCCUCUUUUUGAGCAGCAGCCAGGUCCUGGUCCUUCUUCUCCAACGCCUCCUUCAUUCUCUCUAAAGAAACAACACUCUUCAGACGAGCCUGAAGUUGGCGAUUUUCACUACGCACAUCUGCUUAUGUGAAGUCACUAGGUUCAAAGAGACUGAAUGAAAAGCAGCGAAAAGUCUACUAAGCAGACGAAACGGUCGAAUGGUUACCUCCCAUGAUAGCCGUCUCUUCUUGAGCAGUCUUGAGAUUCUUCUUAGCAAGUUCAAGGUCAAGUUCAACGCUGAUAUGCUUCUUCCUUAACUCGGAAAGACGAGCUCCAAGAUCACAAGACCUCUAUAGUCAGCAAAAGUGCCAUGUCAGUCGACAAGAAAUAAAAGACAAUCGACGGAGAGAAGCUAUUCUAAGACUAAUGUCGAAUCAAAUAUCCAACAAGUAGUCUCGGGGACUACACCCAGUGGGUGCACUUAGCAUGCCCCCACUGGUUCAGAACAAUACUCAGCAGGGUCUGCCCAGCGUGAGUUCAAAAAAAAUAGAUACAUUCUAAGACCUCAGUCGACUACCAGCAGUCGACCGUGGUCUCGGGGACUACACCCAGUGGGUGCACUUAGCGUGCCCCCACUGGUUCAGAUCAAUACUCAGCAGGGUCUGCCCAGCGUGAGUUCAGAAAGUCUACUAAGAUUCUACUCAAGUCGAGUGCAAUGGAAAUUUUUCAAAGCUCUAAGCAAAGAAACACCCCAGUGGGUGAUCAGAUACAAGAUAACAUUCGAAAGUUCAGUCGGAGUCUUGCUGACCUGAACAUUGGCCUGAAGGGCAGUACUGGCGUUGUAAGCCACUUGGCUGGGCUCGUGCACCACCUUCACUUGCUUCAUGACAAGGUUCACCUGGUGCAGAGCUUCCCUAGCAGCACUCGGCGAGUCAUCCGGAGUCUGAUACGCAGCAAAAAGUGAUGGCUGCAGAGCAGCCGAGGUAUUCGCUGGGUCGGAGGCGUGGAGCUGCAUUGGGGCAGCAUGAGUCGGUGUGGUCGAGCCCACCGGACGAUCAGUCGUCAGCGGGCUGGCGAAUGUGACGCUGGUCCGAACAUGCUCUCCAGAGCGUUCGACCACCACCUCGAGCGCCGUCGUCGAUGAGGAAUCUGAACCUCAAGCCUCCUCUUGCCAGCACUCCCACUCCUCCUCUUCCUCUCCUGUAGAGGCACUUCUUCUUCGUCAUCAGGGAGCACAACAACUUCUUGCAGAACUACAGAAAAGGAGAAAAUGUCAGAAACUCUAUCCAUUGACAGUCUACACGAUUCAACGAAGCUUGGCCGAUCAGACUUACCAACUCGUGAGGUGGCUUCUUUGUCUCCUGGCGCCUUGUCAAUGUCCAUGUCAGUGGCAGCAGAGGUGGGGCUGGAAAGACACAUGAGUUAGUGGGUCAGAACAAGAAAGUCUUCAGUCGACUUACAAAAAUAAAAGCAGGAUACUCACCCCGAAGCGACAGGGACGUCCAUCUUGAUUCGUGGCAGUGUCUUCUGGGCCUUGGGAGGAGAAACUUUAGGCUGCUUGGCCACCUUCUCCGUCGGCUCCGGAGUCGACGUCCGAGUGCGUUUCUGGGUAGUGGCACUCGGGGCCACACUUUUCCCACGCCCGCCAGACGGAUCAUGUUGCUGUUUGGAUCGACGUUCAGAGCGCGGCAGCGAGUCGACCUCUUCCUCCUCGUCUUCCUCCUCGCUCUCCUCCUCCUCCUCUUCUCCCAGGGACUCCCACUCACCACUCUCCUCCGCACUAUCCUCCCCCUCCUGGUCCUGCGCCAAAGCCUGUUCGCCGUUGGGCAUUGAAUGCAUCUCAGUGAAUACCUGCAAAGCAAAUCGAUCGAAGCAAGAGUCAGACAACAUCAAGUACAGUCAGAACACGAGCGGAAAAUAGUCGGAAUAGAGAAUGUACCUUGUCGGGUGGGUUGUCAUCACCGAAAGGGACGACUCGCCUGGAUCCUCUAGGGUUGUCUUGGUUGCCCGUGAUACCCUUCAACCACAAGGCUACGGUUUCGAGCAACACUUCUUCUGGAUGGACCCUAGCGGUGUCGUCCGGUCCGGAAUACAACCACAUUGGGUGAUCGCGGGCCUGGAGAGGCUGGAUGCGCCGACUGUGGAACACUUCCAGCAAGUCCAAGCCAGUAACGCCAUCAUUGAUGAGCUGGACCACUCAGUCUACCAACAUCCUCGUUUCCAUGGUCUCAGCAGCAGUAACUUUCAGUGGAGCGGGAGUCUGGACACGGUCGAAUGAAAAAGGAGGAAGACCGGUCGACUGACUUGGAGCCGCAACGUCCUGGAAAUAGAACUAGGACGACUGCCAACCCCUAACAGAUUCAGGAAGAGUCACAGUAGGAAAAGCGCUCUUAUUCCUCUUUUGGAUACCUAGACCCCCGCACAUCUGGAUAACAUGGGUUUUCGAGUCACUCGACUUCGCCUUUUUUACCGACUAGGAGCGAAUGGUGAAGAUGUGUUUGAAGAGACCCCAGUGCGGUCGACACCCUAAGAAGUUCUCGCACAUCGACACAAAUGCGGCUAGGUACGUGAUGGUGUUGGGGGAAAAGUGGUGGACCUGUGCACCGAAGAAGUUCAAAAACCCACGAAAGAAAGGGUGCGGGGGGAGCGAGAAACCCCGGUCGACGUGAGUGGCAAGCAGGACACACUCACUCGGUCGAGGUUGCUGUUCCGUCUCCCCCUUCGGCAACCUCGCCGCUCCCUUGGCAAUCAGCCUGGACUCCUCCAGUUCGGCCAGAUCCUCCUGCCGUACCGAAGACCGGAUCCAAUCGCCCUAUAUCCAGCCCGGCGGUAGCCCCGCGCGCGAUGACGAUCCAUGGCCCUGCUUCUUGCCCUUCGCCGCCCCCGUCGCCUUCUUAGCGUGAUCUAGCGCCGCCGUCUUGUCCUUCACCAUGGCGAGAGAGCAGCAGUGUCGGGAGCGGAGGCGCUGGACGCGGCAGAGAAACGGAGAAGAAAGAAGAAGAAGCAGGCGUGCACAGUGCAAGCGCCCCCGGUCCCGUCGCCUUAUAAAGGGUCACUUCUGAGUGACUGGCGCGUGGGGCCGAGCAAUCUCAUCAAAUCCUGCUACAAUUGCGCGCAGCGUACGUGGCGAAAAAGGCGGCGCGGUGAUCGAGGCAUCGCUACUUAUCCGAACCGCCAGUUUCUGCGCUCUCCAGCACGCACGCUUCCCCGAAAUUUCGUAUCCCGUGAAAUCCGGGAUUCACCGCAGACAAUCGUGCCCAAGAUCGCGCGCUCCAACACAACACUCAACGCAUGGGGUCACUAGUUCAAUCGACAGCUCUCUGAAUGGAUCAAGACGACCGAGUCGACACUGAAGUAGCAACGCGGGCGUUCAGUCUUGCAGGAAACACUCGCGAAGGCACAAAGCUCAGAAUAGGUCCAACUUUAUCCUACUUUCCACUCGCACCUUAAUCCAUUCGGGGCCUACUGACAAGGAUACAGAUCUAGGGUAGGAUCAUAGGCCUAACCUAUACGUCCUACCCAAGGUCACUACCCUGGAAGAUAAAAAGACCAAGAGACAACAGGCACUACUAGGGAAAAGCCUAGCAGCAUCGCGGGUUUUGGGUGUAUCAGUAGCGCGGGUGCCCGCGCUAUUGAUAUGGCGCCACAACUAACUUGUAGCAGUAGCGCGUGUUGACACACGCUACUGCUAUACAUGGUUAGCUGUAGCGUGCGUUGCAAACAGCGCUACUGCUAAUUAGCUGUAGCGGGUCUUAUACCCCGCGCUACUGCUAUUACUUUCAAAAACAAAAAAAAUCUCGAUCCCGUGCGUGCUGUCAAUUGCAGCAAUGGUAAGAUCUAGCGAUGAUUGGCGUCGCCGGAGGCAUGAACGGACAAUGAAAGACCAGAUCCAGCAGUGGCUGUUGGAGAGGGCCUGUUUCUAUGGCAGAGCCAGGCCGCGGCGUGGGGCUUCUCUUCCCGACCAUGCCAGAUAACUCCGGGUCAUCCAUGGCGACGACCUGCACAGGCAUGGACAUGGGAGGGUGAGUCAAACCAGAGGGAGAGAGAGAAAAGGAAAACCGAGGGAGAGAGGAAGGUGAUGUAGGGAGCAGCGGAGCUAGUCACCGGUGGCGAGGUGCUCCGGUGUGGUGGCGCGGGGCGGCGGCCUCCUAGACGUCGGUGGAAGACCGGCGAGCUCCUAGACGCCGGUGGUGCGAGGCGGCGGCCUCUUUCGGCGCCAUGGAGGAGGAUGGGUGCAUGGGCAAGAGGUCCAUGUGAGAGCGUAUGGAAAGUGACAAGAGGGAUUUGGGGGAGGAGAUGGGGAUUCGGCCGAGGAUAUGGCGACUUCACCUACCUCGUACUUAGUAGUAGCGAGGGGUAUAAAACCGCGCUACUACUAUCAACUUAGUAGUAGCGCGGGUUUAUACCCCUUGCUACUACUAUGGCAUGUGUCGGUGGGCACGGUAGAGACCGCUUAGUAGUAGCGAGGGUUAAAAACCCGUGCUACUGCUAAUUAGCAGUAGCGCUUCUUUUUGUGCCGCGCUGCUGCUAAGAUUUUGUGUAUAAGGUUUUCCCUAGUAGUGAGGAGAGCCCUGGUCGAAUGCGUCGAGUGCAAUCCACUCGACGACCACAUCACUCGACGGUUCUCCUCCCUACCGUCACUCGACCAUAUGAAGAGUCACUCGACCUAGCGAAAGACCGGGAGUCGGAAGAUCACGCAACGGCCAGACACUCACUCCUUAGCCUUUAUAAGCAUUAAGAGUGUUUAAGGCUGGCGUUACCAGUAACGCCCCUUACUUUAUGUACAUUAAGCCCCUUAUAAUGGAGGCGGGCAGGGGUCCUGGCACUCUAUAUAAGCCAUCCUUCUCCUCUUGCACAAGGGUCGCACCCCCUGUAAUACAACACACAUAAUCCAAUCGACCGCCUCCGGUCACCGAGACGUAGGGCUAUUACUUCCUUUGAGAAGGGCCUGAACUCGUAAACCUCGUGUGUACAUCUUCGGCAUAGCUAAGAUCUUGCCUCUCCAUACCUAUCCCCCUUUCUACUGUCAGCCCUAGGACCACGACAGCAAUGGCUUCGCCUUUAUUGGCGAGCCACCUUGGAGGUCCGCAAAGCUGCAUAUCAGCGACGGAGCCGCGUCGAGCUCGGGUGUGGAGGUGAUCCGUCAUUUUCUUCUUUGGUGGCUGCUAUGGUGGUGCCAGAGGCAAGUGACGGGCGUUGGUGUCAAACUCAGACGAUUCUUCCGUCUUGUUUGUAAUUUUACUUCUUGGCUAGUGUUUCUGUGUGCAAAGGCUAGCGUUCUGCUGUCUUUUUAGUUUUGUCAGGUCGGUACUCGGUAUGUACGUGGUUUGCAUUAUAAUCCUUAUGAUAUAAAUGAGACAUAUAUUAUCAUGAAAAAACGCAGAGAACACGUGUGAGGAUGACGUGUACACUUCGUAAACGACGUAAAGUUUCCUAGUCGGCGGCCUUCUCGCGCUGGUCGCUGCACGAGAGAAGUGCUAGUCAAUUUCUGCAGGCCCUGCUUUUGCUCGGCUGCCGCACAUCGGAAGCGACGAUAGAGCGAGAGUGUGGCGGUUACAAGAGAACGAACAAUCUGGUGGGUAGUGGGCUCCAAACGCACGUGCAUGCGAGUAUACUUUUCUUGAGCUGGUCGACGCGUAGGGUCAAGCAUGGUUUGUCUACGCACAUUGCAUGCAUAUCUUGCGGUGUGCAGAGAUCGUACUUGCUCGCUCGGUAGAACCCAACCCACUAUAUAAAUGAGACGCACACGCGUCGAUCCAGACAUCCAGUUCCACUCUGACAAACAAGAGUAUUCCACUGCCCAUCUGUGCAAGCAAAGAUGGCACGACUGCUCCUCCUCGUCCUGGCCACCUCACUCGUUGCGCUGGCGUCGUGCCAACGUCUUCCGGUGCUCGCACCGGUCACCAAGGACCCCGCCACCUCCCUCUACACAAUCCCCUUCCACCAGGGCGCCAGCCUCGUCCUUGACAUCGCCGGCCCGCUCGUUUGGUCCACGUGCCAGCGCGGCGAUCUGCCGACAGACAUCCCGUGCAGUAGCCCCACCUGCCUCCUUGCCAACGCCUACCCGGCCCCGGGCUGCCCCGCGUCCAGCUGCGGCAGCGACAGGCACCACAAGCCGUGCAAGGCGUACCCAUACAACCCGGUCACCGGCGCCUGCGCCGCCGGGAGCCUCGCCCGCACGACGCUCGUAGCCAGCACCACCAACGGGAAUUACCCGGUGAGCGAGGUGAACGUCCGGGUCCUGGCGGCGUGCGCGCCGAGGAAGCUCCUGGCGUCGCUGCCCCGGGGCUCCACUGGCGUGGCCGGGCUCGGGGGCUCCGGCCUGGCGCUGCCGGCUCAGGUGGCGUCCACCCAGAAGGUCGACAACAAGUUCCUCCUCUGCCUCCCCAGCGGCGGCCCUGGCGUGGCCAUCUUCGGCGGCGGCCCGCUCCCGUGGCCGCAAUUGACGCGAUCGAUGCCGUACACGCCGCUCGUCACCAAGGGCGGCAGCCCCGCGCACUACAUCUCCGUCAAGGCCAUCCAAGUGGAGGACACCCGCGUCUCCGUCUCAGAGCGCGCGCUCGUGAUGCUCAGCACGAGGCUGCCCUACGCCAUGCUCCGCCGGGACGUGUACCGCCCAUUGGUGGACGCGUUCACCAAGGCCCUAGCGGCGCAGCCUGCCAACGGAGCGCCCGUGGCGCGCGCCGUGAAGCCUGUGGCGCCGUUCGAGCUGUGCUACGACACGAAGUCGCUGGGCAACAACCCCGGCGGGUACUGGGUGCCGAACGUCGGGCUGGCGCUCGACGGCGGGAGUGACUGGUGGAUGACUGGGAAAAACUUCAUGGUGGACGUCAAGCCGGGGACGGCGUGCGUUGGGUUCGUGGAGAUGAAGGGGGUGGAUGCCGGCGCCGGCAGGGCGCCGGCGGUGAUACUCGGAGGAGCCCAGUUGGAGGAACUCGUGCUCGACUUCGACAUGGAGAAGAAGCGGC